GUGCUCCUGUUGGCAGCACAUACACUAUAAUUGGAAUGAUGCAGAGAAGAUUAGUAUGGCCCCUGUGCAAGGAUGACACAGAAAUUCAUGAAGCAUUUCAUAUUUUU